rnacentral:rRNA from 1 species
CCUACGGGUGGCAGCAGUAGGGAAUCUUCCACAAUGGACGAAAGUCUGAUGGAGCAACGCCGCGUGUGUGAUGAAGGGUUUCGGCUCGUAAAACACUGUUGUAAGAGAAGAAUGACAUUGAGAGUAACUGUUCAGUGUGUGACGGUAUCUUAACAGAAAGGAACGGCUAAAUACGUGCCAGCAGCCGCGGGAAUACGUAUGUUCCAAGCGUCAGCCGGAAUUAUUUGGCGGUAAGCGAGGGCAGAGGGUUUUUUAAGGACGAAGGGAAAUGCCACUGGUUAACGGGGGAAUUGCUUUGGAAACUGGAAAACUUGAGUGCAGGAGAGGAGAGUGGAACUCCAUGUGUAGCGGUGAAAUGCGUAGAUAUAUGGAAGAACACCAGUGGCGAAGGCGGCUCUCUGGACUGUAACUGACGUUGAGGCUCGAAAGUGUGGGGGGCAAACAGGAUUAGAUACCCUGGUAGUC